rnacentral:rRNA from 1 species
UACGUAGGGUGCAAGCGUUAAUCGGAAUUACUGGGCGUAAAGCGUACGUAGGCGGCUUUGUAAGUUAGAGGUGAAAGCCCGGGGCUCAACUCCGGAAUUGCCUUUAAGACUGCAUCGCUUGAAUCAUGGAGAGGUGAGUGGAAUUCCGAGUGUAGAGGUGAAAUUCGUAGAUAUUCGGAAGAACACCAGUGGCGAAGGCGACUCACUGGACAUGUAUUGACGCUGAGGUACGAAAGCGUGGGGAGCAAACAGG